rnacentral:rRNA from 1 species
UACGGGGGGGGCAAGCGUUGUUCGGAAUUACUGGGCGUAAAGGGCUCGUAGGCGGCCCACUAAGUCGGAUGUGAAAUCCCCAGGCUUAACCUGGGAACUGCAUCCGAUACUGGAUGGCUUGAAUCCGGGAGAGGGAUGCAGAAUUCCAGGUGUAGCGGUGAAAUGCGUAGAUAUCUGGAGGAAUACCGGUGGCGAAGGCGGCAUCCUGGACCGGCAUUGACGCUGAUGAGCGAAAGCGAGGGGAGCAAACGGG